rnacentral:rRNA from 1 species
UACGAAGGGGGGCGAGCGUUGUUCGGAAUACUGGGCGUAAAGCGUGCGCAGGCGGUUCGUUAUGUCCGAUGUGAAAGCCCCCGAGCUCAACUUGGGAAUGGCAUUGGAAACUGGCGGGCUGGAGUGUGGCAGAGGGGGGUGGAAUUCCACGUGUAGCAGUGAAAUGCGUAGAGAUGUGGAGGAACACCGAUGGCGAAGGCAGCCCCCUGGGCCAACACUGACGCUCAGGCACGAAAGCGUGGGGAGCAAACAGG